rnacentral:rRNA from 1 species
UAAAGGGCCGCGGUAUAUUGACCGUGCGAAGGUAGCAUAAUCAUUAGUCUUUUAAUUGAAGGCUGGAAUGAAUGGUUGAACAAAAAAUAUCCUGUCUCACUAUUAAAAUUAAAAUUUGACUUUUAAGUAAAAAGGCUUAAAUAAUAUAGAAUGACGAUAAGACCCUAUAAAGCUUUAUAUUAAAAAAAUAAUUAAUAAGUUUGAAUUUAAAAGUUAUUUAUUUUAAAGAUAUUAUGUUGGGGCGACAAAAAUAAAAAUUGUAACUGUUUAUUUAUUAAAAACUACAAUAAAAGAAAAAGUGAUCCUUUAGUAAAGAUUAAAAGAUUAAGUUACUUUAGGGAUAACAGCGUAAUCUUUUUUAAGAGUUCAUAUCGACAAAAAGACUUGCGACCUCGAUGUUGAAUUAAGAAGUCCUUUUGGUGUAGCAGUUAAAAAG